GGAAGGAUCAUGUCGUGACCUGACCAAAACAGACCGUGAACNUGUCAUCCAUGCUGUUGGGCGACGGGGCUCCACCUGUUUCUCAGCAGAGGUCUCNCGCACGCUUUGGCGUGUGAGGGAUCCCAACAGAACCCAGGGCACCGAUGGUGUCAAGGAACCCCAAACAUUGCUUUGAUCGAGGCUGUGGCUGGCUUGCCAGAUGCACCUCUUAAGGCGAUGCAAUCGUAGUCUCACGACUCUCGGCAACGGAUAUCUUGGCUCUCGCAUCGAUGAAGAACGUAGCAAAAUGCGAUACCUGGUGUGAAUUGCAGAAUCCUGUGAACCAUCGAGUUUUUGAACGCAAGUUGCGCCCGAGGCCUCCUGGGCUAAGGGCACGUCUGCCUGGGCGUCACGCCAAAAGACACUCCCCAACCAUUGCGGUGCAGGAUGUGGUGUUUGGCUCCCCGUGACGCAAAGCGCGGCGGGUCAAAGUUGGGGCAGCCGGCUAAAUAGGGGCCGGUCACAGCGAAAGGUGGACGGCACAUGUUGUUCUUGGAGUUGUGACCCGCGUCGUAACCGGUGACAUGAUGGCCCUC
rnacentral:rRNA from 1 species